CAGUACUAUACCGAUGAAAACCAUUUUUGUCCCAAGUGAAAAGAUGAGCCAAAAAACACGGAGCCCAGGUUGAAAAAUACAGGAGUACUCCUUCGACGUUGAUCUCUUUGAAAGGUAACUGAUGAAGGUGCACCAUCAGUUUUGGUUUGGCGUAAAGGAAGUAGAAUCUUAAAAAUAGCACAUGGAUUAGAUUGCAAAAUGCACAAAUGGAAACUGCAAACAAGAUGUCAUCAUGUUGUUUUCUGGUUGCACCUUAACAUUUUAAUAGGAAGAAACACAAAGAAUGAAUGGAACCUUAAACUUACUGGUUCCAGAAGUGCACUUCACAAGUAAAUUACAGGGCAUCAAUCAUGACACUGACCAGACCUGCCUUAUACAAAUCACUUCCUGAAUGUUCCUGAGAGGUAAACAAAGAACAAACAAACGGCAAAAGAAACAGGAGCCUUGAGAUGGGAUUUUAUUAAUACAACAGGACCCACACUUUUCUAUCCUGUAUACAAAUUCAUUUAUGAAAGAAUUCCUUUUGAUUCAGGCUAGUUUAAGACAUCUGUUUUGUUAUUUAAUUGUUCUGGAUUUUUUGUGAACUGUCCUCUCAAUUUCAUCAUCUGCCACUUGUGUUGUUCUGUAAAUAAUGAUUGAGGAGUCAAUAAAACACUUUUGGUGGGA